rnacentral:rRNA from 1 species
GAUGAACGCUGGCGGCGUGCCUAAUACAUGCCAGUCGAGCGAACAGACGAGGAGCUUGCUCCUCUGACGUUAGCGGCGGACGGGUGAGUAACACGUGGAUAACCUACCUAUAAGACUGGGAUAACUUCGGGAAACCGGAGCUAAUACCGGAUAAUAUAUUGAACCGCAUGGUUCAAUAGUGAAAGACGGUUUUGCUGUCACUUAUAGAUGGAUCCGCGCCGCAUUAGCUAGUUGGUAAGGUAACGGCUUACCAAGGCGACGAUGCGUAGCCGACCUGAGAGGGUGAUCGGCCACACUGGAACUGAGACACGGUCCAGACUCCUACGGGAGGCAGCAGUAGGGAAUCUUCCGCAAUGGGCGAAAGCCUGACGGAGCAACGCCGCGUGAGUGAUGAAGGUCUUCGGAUCGUAAAACUCUGUUAUUAGGGAAGAACAAAUGUGUAAGUAACUAUGCACGUCUUGACGGUACCUAAUCAGAAAGCCACGGCUAACUACAUG